ACGGCUACCUUGUUACGACUUCACCCCAGUCAUCUGUCCCGCCUUAGGCGGCUCCCUCCAUAAAGGUUAGGCCACCGACUUUGGGCGUUACAAACUCCCAUGGUGUGACGGGCGGUGUGUACAAGGCCCGGGAACGUAUUCACCGCGGCAUGCUGAUCCGCGAUUACUAGCGAUUCCGACUUCGUGUAGGCGAGUUGCAGCCUACAGUCCGAACUGAGAACGGCUUUAAGAGAUUAGCUUACUCUCGCGAGCUUGCGACUCGUUGUACCGUCCAUUGUAGCACGUGUGUAGCCCAGGUCAUAAGGGGCAUGAUGAUCUGACGUCGUCCCCACCUUCCUCCGGUUUGUCACCGGCAGUCUCACUAGAGUGCCCAACUUAAUGCUGGCAACUAGUAACAAGGGUUGCGCUCGUUGCGGGACUUAACCCAACAUCUCACGACACGAGCUGACGACGACCAUGCACCACCUGUCAUUGCGUCCCCGAAGGGAACGCCUUAUCUCUAAGGUUAGCGCAAGAUGUCAAGACCUGGUAAGGUUCUUCGCGUAGCUUCGAAUUAAACCACAUGCUCCACCGCUUGUGCGGGCCCCCGUCAAUUCCUUUGAGUUUCAACCUUGCGGUCGUACUCCC
rnacentral:rRNA from 1 species